rnacentral:rRNA from 1 species
CCUACGGGGGGCAGCAGUGGGGAAUAUUGGACAAUGGGCGAAAGCCUGACGCAGCAACGCCGCGUGAAGGAAGAAGGGUUUCGGGUCGUAAACUUCUAUUAACAGGGACGAAAGAAAUGACGGUACCUGAGUAAGAAGCAACGGCUAACUACGUGCCAGCAGCCGCGGUAAUACGUAGGGGGCAAGCGUUAUCCGGAAUUACUGGGUGUAAAGGGUGAGUAGGCGGCAUGGGAAGCCAGAUGUGAAAGCCUUGGGCUUAACCCGAGGCCUGCAUUUGGAACUUUCAAGCUAGAGUACAGGAGAGGCAAGCGGAAUUCCUAGUGUAGCGGUGAAAUGCGUAGAUAUUAGG